rnacentral:rRNA from 1 species
UAUGGCUCAGGACGAACGCUGGCGGCGUGCUUAACACAUGCAAGUCGAGCGAUGAAGCUCCUUCGGGAGUGGAUUAGCGGCGGACGGGUGAGUAACACGUGGGUAACCUGCCUCAUAGAGGGGAAUAGCCUUUCGAAAGGAAGAUUAAUACCGCAUAAGAUUGUAGUAUCGCAUGAUACAGCAAUUAAAGGAGUAAUCCGCUAUGAGAUGGACCCGCGUCGCAUUAGCUAGUUGGUGAGGUAACGGCUCACCAAGGCGACGAUGCGUAGCCGACCUGAGAGGGUGAUCGGCCACAUUGGGACUGAGACACGGCCCAGACUCCUACGGGAGGCAGCAGUGGGGAAUAUUGCACAAUGGGGGAAACCCUGAUGCAGCAAACCGCCGCGUGAGUGAUGACGGUCUUCGGAUUGUAAAGCUCUGUCUUCAGGGACGAUAAUGACGGUACCUGAGGAGGAAGCCACGGCUAACUACGUGCCAGCAGCCGC